rnacentral:tRNA from 1 species
CUUGAUAGCAAGUACUAUAGCACU